rnacentral:rRNA from 1 species
AGCGAACGCUGGCGGAAUGCUUUACACAUGCAAGUCGAACGGCAGCACGGACUUCGGUCUGGUGGCGAGUGGCGAACGGGUGAGUAAUAUAUCGGAACGUGCCCAGUCGUGGGGGAUAACGUAGCGAAAGUUACGCUAAUACCGCAUACGAUCUAUGGAUGAAAGCGGGGGAUCGCAAGACCUCGCGCGAUUGGAGCGGCCGAUAUCAGAUUAGGUAGAUGGUGGGGUAAAGGCUCACCAAGCCAACGAUCUGUAGCUGGUCUGAGAGGACGACCAGCCACACUGGAACUGAGACACGGUCCAGACUCCUACGGGAGGCAGCAGUGGGGAAUUUUGGACAAUGGACGCAAGUCUGAUCCAGCCAUUCCGCGUGCAGGAUGAAGGCCCUCGGGUUGUAAACUGCUUUUGUACGGAACGAAAAGGUCUCCAUUAAUACUGGGGGCUCAUGACGGUACCGUAAGAAUAAGCACCGGCUAACUACGUGCCAGCCGCCGCAGUAAGAC